UACGGGGGGAGCAAGCGUUGUUCGGAAUUACUGGGCGUAAAGGGCUCGUAGGCGGCCAACUAAGUCCGACGUGAAAUCCCAAAGCUUAACUUUGGAACUGCGUCGGAUACUGGAUGGCUUGAAUUCGGGAGAGGGAUGCAGAAUUCCAGGUGUAGCGGUGAAAUGCGUAGAUAUCUGGAGGAACACCGGUGGCGAAGGCGGCAUCCUGGACCGGUAUUGACGCUGAGACGCGAAAAGCGUGGGGGAGCAAACAGG
rnacentral:rRNA from 1 species